UACGGAGGGGGCUAGCGUUGCUCGGAAUCGACUGGGCGUAAAGGGCGCGUAGGCGGAGUCUUUAAGUCGGGGGUGAAAGCCGUGAGGCUCAACCUCAGAAUUGCCUUCGAUACUGGAGAUCUUGAGAUCGGAAGAGGUAAGGUGGAACUGCGGAAGUGUAGAGGUGAAAUUCGUAGAUAUUCGCAAGAACACCAGUGGCGAAGGCGACUCACUGGACAUGUAUUGAC
rnacentral:rRNA from 1 species